GUUGUAAUUCUUGAUUAUUACUGACUAUAGCACAUGCCAUGAGGCUGAAAACGAGGCACCCUGAGAUUAUACCAUGAAGGCUCACUCAGCAUUUCUUUUCCUUUAACAUUCCUCCAUUUCUGAUUUCUGGGAAUUUCUUUCAGAGAUCUCCAACACGUCAGAGACAGGGAAAUGGUUAGAGGAAGAGGAUUCUUUUUGAGUAGAUUAAACACUUAUAUAAUAUCUGUUUAUUUCCAGCUGCGCUGCCUGAUACUUUCACCGUAUAACUGAAUAAAAUUCACCGUAAACAAUGUAACUUCAAGUAAACUGUCUUUCCUAUAAAAAAAAUAAAAAAUAAUAUUUGCUAAUAGAAGGGAAUGAAAUCUAUUGGAAGAUCCAAAACCCUUCAGUGGCUCAAAUGUUCAAAAAUAGAGGAAAUCAGGAAGGAAUUAAACAUCUUUUUAUACAGAAAGUAACACAGAAAGUAAAACAUCAGAGGGGAGACUUUUAACAAAGUGUCACCAAAAUUUAG